rnacentral:rRNA from 2 species
UUGACCUCAAAUCAGGUAGGACUACCCGCUGAACUUAAGCAUAUCAAUAAGCGGAGGAAAAGAAACUAACAAGGAUUCCCCUAGUAACUGCGAGUGAAGAGGGAAAAGCUCAAAUUUAAAAUCUGGCAGCUUCGCUGUCCGAGUG